rnacentral:rRNA from 1 species
AAUAUUGCACAAUGGGGGAAACCCUGAUGCAGCGACGCCGCGUGAGUGAAGAAGUAUUUCGGUAUGUAAAGCUCUGUCAGCAGGGAAGAAAGAAAUGACGGUACCUGACCAAGAAGCCCCGGCUAACUACGCGCCAGCAGCCGCGGUAAUACGUAGGGGGCAAGCGUUAUCCGGAAUUACUGGGUGUAAAGGGAGCGUAGACGGUUAAGCAAGUCUGGAGUGAAAGCCCGGGGCCCAACCCCGGGACUGCUUUGGAAACUGUGUAACUGGAGUACAGGAGGGGCAGGCGGAAUUCCUGGUGUAGCGGUGAAAUGCGUAGAUAUCAGGAGGAACACCGGCGGCGAAGGCGGCCUGCUGGACUGAGACUGACGUUGAGGCUCGAAAGCGUGGGGAGCAAA